GUGUCAGCCGCCGCGGUAAUACAGAGGGUGCAAGCGUUAAUCGGAAUUACUGGGCGUAAAGCGCGCGUAGGCGGUUGUGUAAGUUGGAUGUGAAAUCCCCGGGCUUAACCUGGGCACUGCAUUCAAAACUGCACGGCUAGAGUAUGGGAGAGGAAGGUAGAAUUCCAGGUGUAGCGGUGAAAUGCGUAGAGAUCUGGAGGAAUACCGAUGGCGAAGGCAGCCUUCUGGCCUAAUACUGACGCUGAGGUGCGAAAGCAUGGGGAGCAAACAGGAUUAGAAACCCGCGUAGUCC
rnacentral:rRNA from 1 species